GCCAUUGUGGUAUAGUGGUUUCAGUGCUGACCUAGCACUCAGGAGGACUGGGGUUCAAAUUCCUACUAGGGCA